CUAGCUAACAAAGCACUCUAGGAAUUUGAACAAGCCAGCCAGUCUCCAGAGUUUGUGCCCUGAGUAAACUGCUUUGCUCUUUCUGACUUAAGGAUUAACUUAUGUCUUCCCUGAUGAUUUCUGGAUUAAUAAUCAGGGUCCUACAUUUCAGCACAAAAUGUGAUGUUUUUAUACUUCUUGUUGAUUCCAACUCUGUGCGUCCUGCUUAAAAUGCACAGUAUUUUGAUUCCAGUUAGUUACUUACACUGACUUCUAGCACCCUCUCCUGGCCACUGGGUGUGUAUGAUACAUACUGUUUGCUGAUGAGUUGGAGCUCUAGUAAGUGAAAUACAUCAAAAGUAGGGACUUGGCCAGAAAACUGGGAAAGGCCCUGAAAUAAAAGGCAGGUUCCAAAUCCAUACCUGAUGUGCUUAGACAAGAGGCUCUUCCUUGCAUGAUCUUGAUUUUCCCAGUCUCAAAGUGAGAGGAGUUGGUGAUGUUCUUUAUUUCUUCUGGUUUUAAUAAUUUGGGAUAAAUGUGCAUAAUUUAAUAAUUGUGGCUUGAAUGGAUGCUCCAGAUAUUGAAAUGUCAGGUGUUACCAAUGGAAAACAGAAAAGUCUUUUAAUUUUGAUACAACAAUAAUGUAUAUUGCUUGCUUCCUCCUGACUGCUGUAGGAGAAGUGCAUGCUGAGUAGGCUCCAUAAGCUGAAGGCCAGUAUGAAGGCAAUGCCCAGAACUCCUACCUGUAAGGAUGGCAGUGCCGAAGCUAGAAGAGAUAAAGACUCCAUGAGGGCUUGGAUCAAUGCCUGGGCCCUGUGAUUUGAAAUGGAAUAGCAUCCUCAUUCCAGAAAGAGAAGGCUGCCUUCAAGGUGAGACAAACCUCCAAGUCCAGCACACAGCACUCAACAUGCCACAUGGUAGAUGGCAUCCAAGGGACAGAGAUUUUUCCCUGAAGAAGGAGAAUAUGGGAUUUCCCACGGACCCCUGAAAAAAAAAAAGAACCAGUUCCUUUCGGAUUACCCAGAUCUUAAUUUACUACUUGAAAUCACUCUCUGUGAUUUGUUGGUUAUAGAUUGUCUAAAAUUAGGUCUCAAAGUUAAAUAUGAGGGUUGUCUUCAAGAUAUUUUAUGGGUUAUCCUGAAACCGGUGCCUGAUUUCUUUUUGGGUUUUGCUUGGGGUUUUACAAAAUUUCUUUUUCUUUAUUUAAUUGGUGUAUGUUUGUUUGCUUGUUUUUUUAACCUUAGUUUUCCCAUUUUUCUGGCAUAUUUUUUAAGUGCACUGCAUACUAUUAUCACUUGCCAGGCAUGGUGUAUAGUUUUACAUAGUUAUUGUUUUGCAUAUGUAUUGCUUCUUUAUUCCCUUCCCUCCUGGGUGCCCACUGUACUGUCUUUGACACAUGUCCUUAGAGCCUCUGCCUCUGCGAAUGAACUCAGUGUGAUGGGUGAAUAAUACAUUUGUAAUCCCUGUCUACAGCGUACAUUUCUGCCUGUUCAUGUCUGGAUUCCUGUCAGCGCUUUGCUCCACAGCUGGCAGUCACUGCAUCCUCUUCUUCCAAAGCCUGGUGUGCUCAUAGGUGUUUUUUUUUUUUUGUACCAGGGAUUGAACUCGGGUUCUUGCAGUUGUGGAUCAGGCAGCAGAACCACUGAGCUAAAUCCCCGGCCCUAGGUGGGGUUUUUGAAAGGUGAUUGGACCAUGGCACACUGUUACUAACCGUGCCGCGAGGGAAUGAGGGCCUGGAUGGAAGAGGUGGUCAUAGAGCUGUGACCUUGGAGAAUGUGUCUCCCUCCCUGAGCCUCCCCUUCUUCCUUUGCUUCCUGGGCACCAUGAGGUGAGCAGCUUUCCUCCACAGCAGACCCUUCCACUAGGCCCUUCUCCAUUACAGCCAGAUGUCUGUGAACUGAGAACUCUAAAGUCAGUGAGCCCAAAACAUCCUCUCCUCUUAAGGUUGUAGGUGUUGGGUACUUUGUCCCAGCAACAAGAAAAGUGACUAAGAAUGAGUACUUUGCUGUCACCAGCAGAGCUGUGACAGACACCUCACGAGGUUCCUUACAACCAGUGUAAGCCUUUCCCUGGGAAUGUAAGGCUAGGAUUGAUGGUUGGGGGACACACACACACACACACACACACACACACACACACACUCCUUUUCACUAUGUGCUGCCAGUGCUAUGAUAUUAUCUGGAAUUUUAACUUUUGCCAACUAGAUGGCUGUCAAGCAAGAUCUCACUGUUUUAAUAGGCAGUGAUAUGAUUAUGAGGAAGCUGAGGGUCAUUUUUAAUGGCUAGUCUGUUUUGCAGCAUUUCCUUCAGCUUCCUGCCUAUUUGAGUUCUUUAUAUACAGCUCUGGGUAGCAGAGCUGGAGUUCCAGCCAGUUGGCCUGGGAUAUACAUAGCCUGGCACUGCCAUUCAUGCAACCCAAGCAAGUUGCUUUCCAUCGUGGUCCCCUAGCUUCCUCAACUGUAAUAAGUAAAAACAGUUAAGUUCCUUAUAUGUUUGUGAAGAUUAAGUGAAUUAAAACCUAUAGAAUACUUAAAGGGCCAG
rnacentral:lncRNA from 1 species